CUGAUGCAGCACGCCGUGUGCGGGAUGACGGCCUUCGGGUUGUAAACCGCUUUCGCUCAUGACGAAGCUUUGUGUGACGGUAGUGGGUAAAGAAGCACCGGCUAACUACUUGCCACCACCCGCGGUGAUACUUAGGGUGCGAGCGUUGUCCGGAUUUAUUGGGCGUAAAGGGCUCGUAGGUGGUUGAUCCCGUCGGAAGUGUAAUCUUGGGGCUUAACCCUGAGCGUGCUUUUGAUACGGGUUGACUUGAGGAAGGUAGGGGAAAAUGGAAUUCCUGGUGGAGCGGUGGAAUGCCCAAAUAUCAGGAGGAACACCGGUGGCAAAGGCGGUUCUCUGGGCCUUUCCUGACGCUGAGGAGCGAAAGCGUGGGGAGCGAACAGGCUUAAAUACCCUGGUAGUCCACCCUGUAAACGGUGGGUACUAGGUGUGGGGUCCAUUCCACAGGGUCCUUGCCCUACCUAAGGUUUUAUUUACCCCGCUUGGGGAGUAUUGGCCAAAAGGCUAAAACUCAACCGACUGGACGGGGC
rnacentral:rRNA from 1 species